CUCCCAGCUAGCAACUCAUCACAAAAUGAGAAACAUGUUCCCCUUCCUGUCUCGUUCGGGGCAGACCCGUGUGUUAGCUGUUUAGCUGUGUUUACAGGUCCUUGGGGCUGGGCCUUUGUUUUUUCAGAUUCUUGCCUUCGCACGAUGGCAGGCACACACACAGAUAAAAACAUCAGCCCAACGCUGAACUCGCGAGCAUCGCUCUGGUUUCCGGCAAGCCAAAUGUUUGGGCUAUGCGAGGAUCCUUGGUCGCUGGCAGCUGCCCGUCUGCUCUCCCUCGCGUGCCCCCGGGACCCCAGGCACCCACAGCCUCGCCGGAGCUCCAGCACAGGAUGCCCUGGGGCGGUCCGGUGCCCGCAGCGGCGAGACACUCCCGGUCGAGACCUCAUCGAUGCAUUCAAGGACAGGAAGCGGUUUUAUCAGAGGUCUGCUGCCUCCCAGGAUGUUUUCCAUGCCACCAUGCGCAGCUUGCACAAAGGAAUUCCGUGGAUGUGAGAGGAGGUGCCCUUACGCACGUCACAGGCCAAGAGGAAACCAAAUACGAAGUACGCACCACCAUCCCCAAACGCUGCCAUCGUGCUACGUCUGCCGACAGCAAAGCCAGCUCUCCAGCACAGCCACACAUAAUGGCGUUACAAUCUCCCUUAUAUUUUAAAAUAUCCGUGUAUUCUGGGCAGUUAUGGACCUCAGGCAUGCCACUUUAAAACAUACACCGAGUUCCUCCACGUAACCCCCGUGCCACAGCUGGCACAGCUGCUACGAACUGGGCCAUCACCCUUUCCCUAGGACUUCACACCGACAUGCUCCCGCUGCCUUCGCUCGAGCCCCGAAGUCGUAACAUGCUUCCACGUUCGGCUUCUUGGUUUGUUUUUUAGCGAUCAAGCUCACACAAGCCUAACGAUUCCCUUCAGUUUUACAAGCAUGUUCAUGUUUGCUGUCAAACGCAUGAGUUAGUUUUCUGGAGGCUAUUGCAAGAGAGCAACCAUUAAUUACUGCAACUGCACAAAAUGCCUUUUUAUUCAGAAACGUAUUUCAAAGUGUUUUCAGUGAUUAUACCAUCACUUUCCCAAACUAGGUAGCCACUGGAAGACAGUUUAUCUACUCUGAAUUAGCAGAAGGCUGGUGUUAUUUUGAUUUCCUAUGGAAUAUUAUUUCUUCUGCCCUCCCCUU